rnacentral:rRNA from 1 species
CAGUCGUACCUAUGGGUAAUCAGCCUUUUGGGUGUGAUUUUGUGGAGCGUGAGGAGUUAAACGCCUUCAUGCCUGCAUAUUCGUGCACUUUGGGUGUACUUGCCAGUAUGGUUGGUUAACAUCAAUUUUGGUGGUCAUAAAAUGACUGGAGGAAUGUAGCUUCGAUCUCGUAUUGAAGUGUUAUAGCCUUCGGUAGAUGUGAUGAUCGAGAUUGAGGAUUGCAACGGAUACCCUUCGGGGCUACCUGUCUGAUCUCUGAUCGUUGCUCUGGUGCCGAAAGCUUGCUUACGGUUAUCAAAGUCAAUGGUCAAUAGGUUAGAACGGGUUAAA